rnacentral:rRNA from 1 species
AUAAGUGGACUUGAUUGUGAGAAAAACUCCAUAGUUAAGCUCGCUUGAGCCAGAGGAGUCUUGGGAUGGGUGACUGUCUAGGAAGUCCUGGUUACUUACU